CCUACGGGUGGCAGCAGUGGGGAAUCUUGCGCAAUGGGCGAAAGCCUGACGCAGCGACGCCGCGUGAGUGAUGAAGGCCCUCGGGUUGUAAAGCUCUGUGGGGAGAGACGAAUAAGCCUUGGCUAAUAUCCAAGGUGAUGACGGUAUCUCCUUAGCAAGCACCGGCUAACUCUGUGCCAGCAGCCGCGGUAAGACAGAGGGUGCAAACGUUGUUCGGAAUUACUGGGCGUAAAGCGUGUGUAGGCGGCUACAUAAGUCGGAUGUGAAAGCCCCGG
rnacentral:rRNA from 1 species